UACGUAGGGUGCGAGCGUUGUCCGGAAUUACUGGGCGUAAAGAGCUCGUAGGUGGUUUGUCGCGUUGUUCGUGAAAACUCACAACUCAAUUGUGAGCGUGCGGGCGAUACGGGCAGACUGGAGUACUGCAGGGGAGACUGGAAUUCCUGGUGUAGCGGUGGAAUGCGCAGAUAUCAGGAGGAACACCGGUGGCGAAGGCGGGUCUCUGGGCCGAUACUGACGCUGAGGAGCGAAAGCGUGGGGAGCGAACAGG
rnacentral:rRNA from 1 species